CUGGAGGAGGGAGUUGGACAGCCCCCUCCUCUAGGGAAGUCUCUAAAUAUCCACAUGUUCUAAGUGGCUUCUUACUUUCCUUCAUCCGUCACUUCCAAAGAAAGUUGGUCUGGAGGGAGAGUAGAUGUGAAAGAAUUGUAACCGGGAAUGGGGAGGGGUCAGUGGUGAACAGGCAAUAGUGUGAUCUCUGACAUUGAUGAGAUCCUCCCUUCCCCCAGUUUCUGGUCUCUCCUUCGGUAUCAUCAGUGGUGUCUUCUCUGUUAUCAAUAUUUUGGCUGAUGCACUUGGGCCAGGUGUGGUUGGGAUCCAUGGAGACUCACCCUAUUACUUCCUGACUUCAGCCUUUCUGACAGCAGCCAUUAUCCUGCUCCAUACCUUUUGGGGAGUUGUGUUCUUUGAUGCCUGUGAGAGGAGACGGUACUGGGCUUUGGGCCUGGUGGUUGGGAG
rnacentral:ncRNA from 2 species